rnacentral:rRNA from 1 species
GGUAUUUUAUUCUUAUUAUCAAAAUUUAUGGAUCCUCCAAUUACAUAUAAGUAUUCUUAAAAAAGAGAAGUUUAAUUUAUUCUCUAGUCACCCCAACUAAAUAUAUUUUUGUUAAAACUUUAUAAAUUUACUUCUUUAAUUUUAAUUAAAUAUAUAAAAAUCUAUAGGGUCUUCUCGUCUUUUUAGUUACAAUUUUUGCCUUUUAACAAAAAAGUUAAAUUAAUUUAAUAUGAUAGAGACAGCUUUGAUUACGUUCAAUCUUUCAUUCCAGUCUCCAAUUAAAAGACUAUUGAUUAUGCUACCUUUGCACAGUCAAAAUACUGCGGCUCUUUAAAUCGUCAGUGUGCAGAUUAUACCUUUUAUUAAAAAUAUAAUAAAAACAAAAGGAA